AGCUUUGCACAGUGGCAGAUCAUAGCCAAUGAGGUUUAUCUGAGGUGUGAUUAUUGCUAAUUGAAAACUUUUCCCGAUACUCCACCAUGAUGAGUUGAAAUAUAGUUGGCAUUGGCAAUUUUUGACAGUCUCUACAGAGA
rnacentral:snRNA from 1 species